GCCUUGGUGGUGGGAGACGUGGUUUCAUCGCCCCCCAAAGCCCAGAAGCAGCUCAUCGGGCAGAGGGUGGUUGGUAAGGCAGGGGGCCGCCUGCAGCCCAGGGCAUUUCUUAAGGAGAAUGGGGUGGGGUGUUUGGAUCCAAGAUGCUUUUGCCGGGGAGUGGGACAAGCAGCCAUGCCUGCCAGGACUGGGCAGGGACGCUGUGUCCCAGGGAAUCCAUGCGGCCCCUCCCAGAGAAACCCCCCUCAGAGUCCCUGCAGAGUCCCUGGGCACGGCUGCGAUCAGCUCUAGGGGGCCAGGGCUGGAGCCAAGGACAGAAUGUGUCAGCCCCUUUCCGCGGGUGGGACCCCACGCCAGGACGGGAAGCGGGGCGGGCAGGCACCACGUGACGUGGCUGGGGCUGUCCCAGGGGCAGGAUGAACAGGGGUGCUGGGGCAGGAGUUGUCUUGGGGCCACCGUGAGCAGAGCCCGAGCUGGAGCUCCUCUCCGAGGGUCCCUCCCCAUGCCCCACCCCGUCGUGUCUGGGGAACUUGGCGCCGGCAGCUCCCUUGAGCUGGCCGCCCCGCCCCAGCUGGGAGGAGUGUCUCCGCGUGUCGGCACAGCCCCGAGGAGAAGUGCGUCUGCACCGGUGUUUCCUGCAUCUGCCCCGGGAAAGUUCCGAGGCAUCAGCUAGGUGACACCUCGGCCAAACCCACAACGGUUUACGGUGGGGGAGUUGAAAAGGAAGCAGUAGGACCCUGCUACUUCCGGAAAGUUCUCAGCUGGGCCUACAGAGCGUGAGUGUGAGGUUUGCCUCCCCGAAUCAUUUUGAACUCUCGGAGCAAACUUCUCAGCAGGCUCGACGAGACGCACGACCGGCGCUAGAGAGCCUGCGGGAGCCGCCAUGAUUCCGCGACCCUCACACGCGCCAGACAUGACGCCCGUUGCCCUGAACACCCGAGAGAGUGUUUCCGGAGCCACGGGACUCUCUCCUGCGUAACUGUGUGCAACUUUAAAGGUCAGGAAACCGAUCGCCACCGAUGGAACACGCGCUCUGUCUCCGUGACGUCCCCGGGGGUCUCUGCAGAGCACCCCUGCCCGGGCUUGCUCCGUCUCCUGUGCUGCCGCCCGUCUGCAGGCCGCCGGGGAGGGAGUCCCCGUGCUCCCCAUCACCCACUGCCCGUGGAGCCCCGCACGGCUCCUGCGGUGGCCCGUCGCUGGGGUAGGACGGCACCUGCCAGCACCCCCAGCGUGGAGGGAGCUACUGAGCCCGCGGCGCUCAGUAGUUCAUAAGCAGUUUGUGGGGGGAGAGUGCGCGAGCUGCUCGAGGAGGCUGGUGUUUUCCCUCAGAAUGUGUGUCGGCGCGGACGCUGGACCGCUGCUUUGCUCGAGGCACUACCGUCCGUAACUUCCGGCGGGUUCCUGAGUCCUCCUGACACAUCUCGCUUUGUGUGGACGCGUCCUGACCUUCUGGGACCAGGUGCUGAGCUGACUCGGCUCAGCCUUUCCUCCGAGGAGCCCCGGCUCCUCUCCGCGGAGAGGGCGAGAGCAAGAGCCAGGCCAGGGAUGCGCUCUGGGGCCGGGUGGCCGGUUCCAGCCUGGACGGUGUGUGCGCCUCCACAAACACACACGCGCGUCUGCAUCUCUCCACGUCUGCGUGCGUGAAACUCCGUGUGCUCUGUGACGUCCAGCUGCAGCCCGGUCCGGCCCCGGCCUGACCUGGCGUCAGCCUGUCCUCAAGCCGCUUCCCCCUGCCUCUGGCACUCGGGAUUUACCUGCUGGCUUGGGGGCUGGAGGCUGGUUUCCGAGGACGGAAGGGGAAGGAGGGAACAGAGCUGAGUGUGAAGCCGGAAGGGCUGAGGUUUCACCCGCUUGCAAGUGGUAGGGGCGCUCCGUGUCAUGCUGGCCGAUGCUCCGGAUGCCGGCCGAAGACCUGGGACACGGGAGAGGGUCACUGGCGGGGCAGCGGGUCCGUUUCAGGCCGCAUCCCUCGGCCCGGGCGGGUGUGGUGCGCACAGGGCGGGAGCCUGUGUCCGGACACCACCAGGCUUCCAGGGUGCUGGGGGCAAGCCUGCCCAUCCCGGUCCCGGGCCGAGGCACCAGCAGGAUCCCGGACAGCAGGUCUGUCCUCCUCCUCGAGGGAGAGUCGCUGCUCCUGUCCUUCCCGGUGAUCUGCUCACAGCGACCCUGGGAAGAGCCGCCAAGGCCUCUGCUCAGCGGACGGCAGAACGCGGGAGCCCAGAGAGCCGUCCGCCGCGCAGGUGUGCGCUGUUUCAUUGUCGUGGAGAAUGACACACCCCGCGUGCGGCUGCGGGUCCGUCUUCCUCGUGGACCUGGCUCACGGGCCGGGCACCACGGUGGGCGGGGUGGCCUGCGGCUGAACGUGCAUCGUUACUCAGCAGCCGUCCUUCCGACCCCGCCGAGCUCUGCUCCCCAGUCCCUGCCGCAGUGCCUGUCCCCACGGAGGAGCCUGUCCCGGCGGCCUGCAGCCGCACUCCCCGGCCUCACAGCCCAGCACAGCCCCUUACUCUCCAGGACCUCCAGCUAGUAGCCUGCGUCACGCACCCACCGGAGCCGCUGGCCGCGAGGCCGACACAACGGCCGGCACGUGGGAGCGGGCUCUGCCGCGGAAGAACGGUCCCGGCGCAGGUCCGAGCGAGGCGGCCGGUGGGCUGGCAUGAGCGCGCUGGUUCUUGCUCUGCUCAGAGGCUGGCAGAUGGGAGGUGGAUGUGAGCAGACGAGGGGUGUUGGGAGGACCCCCAGGUCUUUGGCCGAGCGCAGGCGGCUGACCGGACUGGCGAUGGAAACGUGACACUUCUGUUUCAGGCGUGUGACUUUGCCAGCGUCCGUGAGACGCGGAGGGAAGCGAGACAGGAGGGUGGCUCUGGGGGACGCCGCUGGCCGUCCGCAGGUCAGACGUGCGACACGGAUCAGGCGUGCGGCCCGAGCGUCCUCGGCUGAAGCUGGGGUCCUGCACGCUGAAGCGGGCGCCGGGCUCCAUUCCUGCUGUUGUGGGUCGCCGGGUGGAGUGUCCCACUUCCUGCGCUGCUGGCCUGCCGGGGGCUGCCCUCUGCAGUGCGCGGUGCCCGCACACCAUCUCCCACGGCCCCUCCCUCCUCAGAAGCAGCAGAGGCGGGUGCCCCAGUCCUUGUCUUGCUUGGGCCUCUGUGGCCUCCCCUUCUGCCACGGGGCUCUUUCAGGGGCUCAUGUGACCGGGUCAGGCCCUUGCAGACAUCUGGGUACGUGGGUCACUCUGCCACAGAACAACACAGCCACAGACCGGCAAGGUGCCAUGGUCACGGUCCCAGGUUCUGGGUUGGUGCAGGGAGUCCUGGGGACCCCUGGUAGAGCCCCGUCUGCCCCGGUGGUGGGUGAACGUGAUGGGAAACGGGACCAUUGCGCACCGUCCGCUCUUUGCUGUGGGGUAGACGGCGCUUCACUGGGGGACUGGGUGAGGCAGCCCAGAAAGUGGGUGUGGACAGAUGUGGCUGGAGGCCCGGGCCCCGGAGCACCCCAACAUCUGCAGGGAGAGGAGGAGAAACCAGCGAGAGGGGCUGGAGGAAGGGCAGGCGGGUGGCCCCAGGCGUCCGGGGAGUCUGGACAUGGGGCCACCCAGCGGCCGAUGCGGAUGGUGACGGUGACCGUGGAAAUCGCUAGUGGCUGCCCGCGUAAGGAAGCCCAGGCCCCUUCAAUAUAUCUCCUCCCAGCCCUCCGGGGCACCCACCUACAGGACUCCCCCUGGGAGGUCGUGCGGGGAAGCAAGUCCCAGAAGUGUGGGGAGGGAGGCCUGAGGGGACCCCAAGGGCGAUCCCUCGGCUGCCCACCCAGGUCUGGUGGCAUCUGUGUGUUCAGGGACCAUGGGCCCAUGGGCUCCCCAAGGAUGUGCUGGGGGGAUGGGCUACCAUGGGUCCCAUGCCCUUCUGCCUGCCCCUGCGGCCUGGACCCACACGGCGGGUGGGGCCCCCUGCUUGGCUGGGACUGGCGGCGCCAAAGGCCAACGCCUGGCCCUGGGAGAGCGUUUCUUGGGGCACCGAGAGGGUCUGGGCUGUUCACCUGGGCAGGACACAGAAGCUGGGGAACUUCGGGGCGGUUUGCACAGGAGAGGAACAGCAGGGUCCCUGGAUAGAGCCCCAGGCAGGGGAGCCGUGCAGACAGAGGCCUGCAGGGGCCGGGGGUGCCGGGAGGAGGCCGGACUCCCUGCCCCCCAGACCUGGCCCACCCUCCCUUCCUGGGAGUGGGGCAGGUUUCCGUUCCCGCAGCAGCAGGAGCUCUUCCUAAUACAGCUCCUCUCUGCAUCAUGCUGGGGUUUUUGUAGACAACACAGAGUCCAAUGGGGAACCUUCCGGGAUUCUGGGUACGAAGGGUGUGUCGUGGGGAGAGCUCCCCCAAACGGGGCACACGGUGAUGCUCACAACAGCGAGGAGGUCACUCGUCAGAGCACUUCCGACUCUGGCCACAUCUGAAGGACUCGGGGAGGACUCCGGACGGGUGAGGUCAUAGGCCUAUCGGUGAUAGACCCUCUGACCUAUUUUCUUUGGCAGCAAACGUGUCCCCUGCCCAGGGGGAUCCCCUCCAGGAAUGGACAGGAGAUGCCGGGAAAAGUGGCAAGGUCUCAGGGCUGGGGUCUGACGAGGGUCCCUGCCAGCGGGCAGGCCUGGAGCAUCUCUGGGACAGGGUCCCCUGGCCCACGGCCUCAGAGUCUCCUCUGUGCCUGUGCCUGUCGCCACCCCACGACCUCACCUCUACCCAUGAGACUGGGGCAGACAGAUGGACCUCCAGGGUGUAGUCCCAGGAGAGCCCCGGUGUCAGCCCGGCGGGGUACGUGGGACAGUGGCUGCCUCCUCCUGCCUCGAGGGGGCUGGGCACGUGCUCCCCUAGGAAAGGGCUCUGCUAGGAGGCCAGACAGCCGCAGUAUGGUCUUAUUAUAGGAAAGACUGGACUCUUGGACCGGGUCAUAAACACGGAAUUCCGAGGGUCUGCGUCUGUGCAUGGCCGGAGACUGAGGGCCUGAGGGCCAGCCUUCGGUGGACGCCGCCUUCGAGAGAGAGAAUGCUCCCAGCGGGAAACCCCUGCCCUGAGAUCAAGUAUGCACAAUCAUGGGGUCCCAGAAAUCUCGCUGGGCCACCCCCCACCCCACCGUGCCCCUUGCACAGGUCGGCGCCCCCUGCUCAGACCUUCGCGCCUAUGGGACGGGCCUCUUCCUCCGUGCGCGGCCAUGGCCUGCCCUCAGCCGGUGCCGCCGGCCGGCUCGCUCUCCAGAGGGGGCACGGGGCUGCUCUCUGCUUGUCCAUUUGAGGCUAUAAUGGAGG